rnacentral:rRNA from 1 species
UGGGGAAUAUUGGACAAUGGGCGCAAGCCUGAUCCAGCCACGCCGCGUGGGGGAUGAAGGCCUUCGGGUCGUAAACCCCUGUCGAAUGGGACGAAUAGCCCGCGAUUUAACAAAACGCGGGAAUGACGGUACCGUUAAAGGAAGCCACGGCUAACUCUGUGCCAGCAGCCGCGGUAAUACAGAGGUGGCAAGCGUUGUUCGGAAUUACUGGGCGUAAAGCGUGCGCAGGCGGUUUUGUAAGACAGGCGUGAAAUCCCCGGGCUCAACCUGGGAAUGGCGCUUGUGACUGCAAGGCUGGAGUGCGGCAGAGGGGGAUGGAAUUCCGCGUGUAGCAGUGAAAUGCGUAGAUAUGCGGAGGAACACCGAUGGCGAAGGCAAUCCCCUGGGCCUGCACUGACGCUCAUGCACGAAAGCGUGGGGAGCAAA